UCUAAAGGUUUCUCAUUAGCAUCUUGCAUUCGGCUGCAGUCUCGGGCUCUUGGCUAAUCCUGUAGCAGAAAGUGGUUGUUCCUGGAGUCUCAUUUAAGGUGUUUGGCUCCAGAAACAUCUCUCCUAAUGCAUUCCUGCAGGGUUCCAUGAAAGAGAGAACUGUGAUUUUUGAAGGAGCUUUUGUUACUAUUUCUGUGCUAGGCUCUCACCAGGAGAUCUGCAUGCCUGCCGUCCAUUCCUAAGGGUAAAACCUUAGGGGACUGCUUACUUCUCAAAAUCAGGAGGAAUGCUCUAAAGUGUUCUCAUGACACUAGAGGUCGAGAAGAAGCAAGCAGAAGGAAGAAUUGGAUUGGGGUGGGGGAAAGAAGUGGGCAAGAGUUGGAUGGGGGCCCUGAAAGACAAGCUUGGUGCAUUCAUAGUAUUUCAGAAGCUAGAACAAUGCUGUUAACCAGAAGUCAAUGACCCGCACCUGUGCACCCUGACUUCAGGAGUUCUAUUUGCUAAUCUCUGGGCCCUGAGCACUACAUUAUGCAUGCUCAAAACACAUCACUCUCCAGUGCAAAUAGACCCAGGAAGGAAUAGCUUGGUGCAGUCACACAGGCACCCCUGCCACUACCACUUUCUCUCUGUGCCAAUGUCACUCUCCUGCCUGUCAGCAAGAUUCCAAGGCAGUGACUAGCUGAGGGCCCAAGAGUUCUCUAUCAGUUCCUGCCAUAGGCAGCCUGUGUGUGCCCAGGAUUUCCUCAUGCCCUUCCAGAAACCAGCCCUGCGUGUCUCUUGGACUGCCUCUCAGGCGAUGUCCUACAGAUCUGAGAAUGGGUUCCGGAGCACCUGGGACGAGCUUUGGCACAGUGGAGGCCAAUCUGCUGUAGCCCAGACUGAGUUGGCCUCUUGUCUGCCUGUGUAAGUUCAGAGCAGACAAUGGUGAGGGCGCUCAGGCAGAUCAACUGCAGCUGUAUCUGGCAGGAAGAUAUGACAGGAUGUGGAGCUCUUAGCUACCAUGUCUGCCUGCAUGCCACCAUGUUCCCUGCCAUGAAGAUGAUGGACUAAACUUCUGAAACUAGAGGAGAGAACAAUGGCUACUGUCUUUGAGAGUUGUCUUGAAGAUGCAGCACUGUGGAACUCUCAGAACUCAUGAACAGUCUGAAGGGGCUAACACAACAAGCAGCUGAUGAAAACUGAGUUUGCUGUGCUAUGAACGACUUGCAAUUUUUUGUGUACAAGAAACCAGAACUUGAUUUUUACAAUGCAAUCUAUUUUAUAACUCAGAUGCCCCAGCUUCUAUGUUUCUUGAGGCUGGUGAUGGUAAUAUUUAAUAAUGAGCCUAUGUUCAAAUUUUAGCUGGGCCAAUCACUAGUUGUGCAAGUUCACAUGAAUUACUUCUCAUUUCCUCUUUUUAUUGUUUUCUUGUGUAAGGUGGGCUAAUGGUUUCAGCUCAGAGCCUAGGACUACAGACUACAGGUUUUCAAUUUGUAUCUCCUUUUAACCUGUAGCUCAUUCACUCCAUGGCUGUAUGACCAAGGAUGACUGUGUUGACCUGACCUAACCUUGUCGUGUCUAGAUGAUCAAUAGAAUUUUUACCCUACUUCAGUCUUAUUUAUCUUGAGGACAAAAUGCCUCUAGCCUAAAAGUUUUAUUUUCAGUUGAGUUACCCCAAAUUGCUUGCGUCUAGACUGGGUCUCAGAGUAUUUAGCAGACAACCUCUAACUUUAUCAUAAUUCCAUCCUUUAUGCUAAAUGGCACAUUGCCAGAGGAUGGCAGUUGACAAUUGCCCUGAUGACUACUAGUAAUAAAAAAAACCUAAUAACAAGAGGUGGUACCAAUGCUUGAGAUCCAUGCUGAUACCCAGGACCAUGUCUGGGUCCAUGGUUCUACUGCAGUUGGGGAGUAUCAUGAUGUUUAUGGUCCAUGUUACCACCUAGGGCUGUUUAGAUGUUUAUGGGCCAUACUGUUACCUGAAGCCAUGUUGAUGUCUGUGGGCCAUGUUCCCUGUGAGGGUUAUGAUGGUAUCUGUUGCCCGUACUGUUAAUGUUUAUGGUCUGUAAUGCUACCAGAGACCAUGCUGAGGUCCAUGGCACAUGCUGACCCCAGAGACCAUGUGGUUGUAUGUGGUCCAUGUUGUUACCAGAAACCAUUUGGAUGUCCAUGAUCCAUGUUCUCCCUGUAAAGGGCAAGGGAAUUACUUUUGCAGUGGUAUUGAUGGUUACAGUGGGGAAGAAUUCAGUUUUCUCUAAGGGUCUGGCCACUGGGCAUUUGAUCAUGCUCCACUCCAGUGAGUGAGUAUAAACUGGGCAUCUCUUCUUCUUUUUCUUCUUUUCCUCCUCUUCCUCUUCUACCUCAUCCCCCUCCUCCCCUUCCUUCCUGUCUCCUCCUCAUUCUUCUCUUCCCCCUCUUCCUUUUUGUGUGUGUGCACGCGUGCAUGCUUGCGUGCGUGUGUGUGUGUGUGUGUGUGUGUGUGUGUGAUGUCACAAGAGUGAAGGGUGGACAUAGGAAGACUUUGAAGUGAGUGUGCUUGGGAUUCAUAAUGUAAAAUUCCCAAAUAAUCAAUAAAAAUAUGGAAAAAAGGAAUUGGUACUAAAAUUCCUGGACAAUCUCUUGUCAAUCCCAGAAAAGACAGGAACAUUCUUCCUCUUAGUAGCCAAUCUCUCACCCUGAUAUCUUAUGCCUUGCCACUAAAGCCUGACAGUUCCUAUCAUCACGUCAAGUUACUCUGCAGGCGUACCACUUCUUAUGUACUUGCCAAAGAAUGAGCAUCUCUAUUUCCACUAAAUCAACAUUCAGUCUUUGUGGUUCCACAAUUCCAUGACUGGAGAGAGAAUUAAGUUCUAAAAAAUUAGUACCAUAUUUGGCACCCCAGUUGGAACAUAGUCUGAUGAGUUAUAUUCCUCAUUGGAGAGCUACUUUUUUGUGACUAAAAAGGCUGUUAUCAACAGCAAAGGGAUAUUUGGUUUCUAGGUCCUGAUGUAAGGUAGCGAUAUUUGCCCUAAAGAUAUAAAUAAAGUUGAUGGUGGAACCUGAGGAGGGUAGCUUGAGGGGAACAGACAUUGGUUUUCGGAGGUUGAAAGUCACCUUCCUUUCAAGACCGGCUUAUUUCCAGGACUUAGGGUCUCUCCUCUGGGAAGCUGAGAGAUAUCUGUUAUGGACCCAGGGUGUUGAAUGGACCUUGGGAGCCAGUGGUCCAAUAACAACCUUCCUGGAACUUUUCUGAUAUGGGGAUCUUGGAUUAAUAUGUAUUUGUCUUAUUACUAUAAUAAUCGACACACCUCAACAUCCUGUCUUAAUUGUGAUAUUUUAUUUUGUACAAGAAAUUUCCUUGUCCUUGGCCAAGA